rnacentral:pre_miRNA from 15 species
AAACUCGCGACGGCUGGCGACCUGGCCAGGCAUUCCAACUGUCAAACUUACAAAGCUUUCUCGACAAUUGGUAUCCCUGUCAAGGUCUCAAUCCGUUCAGCGAAUUCGUUGU